GUCCCACCACUUUUUUACUUUGAAAUUAUAGUAAGAUUUUUACUAGAGAGACCAAAACAACUUAGACUAUAUCUUCAUCUUUUCUAUCUUCUUUUAUUCAGGAAAUAAAGGAUUUGCAGGACUUGAUGCGAACUUGAAGCACGCGAUGGUUUACUUGAGCAACUGUAUAUACAUACAUGUAAGUACUAAUUAAUUUACUAUAGUAUGAUUUAUUUGUUUCAAAACUUGACUAGUUCUGUUAAACUCUAUUUUGCAUUUCUACAUUUUUUUUUUUGUUGUUGAAAUCUUAUAAUGCCAUAAGCAUUUUGAUUAAGAAUCCAUUCUACUUGUAGCUUAUAGAAAAACAUGAAUUAAGAAACUCUUACAAGUGAUAUUUCUUUUAAUUAUGCGCUUUUUAGAAUAAUCAAGCUACUAAGCAAGAGUUUAAUAACUUGUUUAUAAGUGUUAUAUUACUAAAAAUUUCUGUGAUAGUUGUUAUUGCUAAGAAAACUUUUAAAAUUAAAAUGUCAAAUGGCAUAGUUAUAAGAUAGAACAAAUAAUAUAGUCUUGUGUCUAGCAGAUCUAACUCGACUAGUAAUGCUGAUAUUGUUAGACGGAACAUUGUCAUCCUGAUUCGAACCGAGACCUCACACUUAUGUGUGUGAGUUUGAGAUACUGUAUGUCAUUUCAUCAAAACAAAUAACAGAGUUAGCCAUGUUAUGUUAUUUUUUUAGUACUUGGUUUCCCAAUACAUAUUUUUGACAAGAACCCCGAGUUAGUAAUACGUUAGACAAUUUUCAAGAAUCAACAUUUUGGUUUCAUAAAACAAUAGCUUGCAUAUGAAAGACAAACCUUCCAGAUAUGACUAUAUAUACUUUUGGACAACUUUUUGCUGGUCCUCUUUAAGCAAGCUAUUUUACACAUCUUGUGGCAUUUUAGGGAUUUUAUGGAUUAGCUUUAGAGCAUUUUCCAUUGAUAUUAAAAAAAAAAAGGAAAUAAAUAAUAGAGUAUGUCCCUAUUUCACAUCUUGUUUAGGAGACACUGUCUCAUGAAACCCUUUAGUGUGCCUUUCAUAUACAUACUUAAUUUAAUUUAAUUUCAAAAAAAAUAUAAAUACUUAAUUUAAUUUCAUUAAACCCCUUUCAUUUGGAGAGGAAAAUAAUGUAAUUUCAUGAAUUGAUUAAGAUCCAUGGUGGAGCAUCAAUGCAUUAGAUAAAGAUAGGUAUAUACGUGAUUUCAUUUAAAUUAAUUUUAAUUUGAUGUAAAUUUCAUUUAUCAAAUGGUUUUUAAGACACAUAUUAGGCAUAAAAAUAAUACUUGUGUAUUAUUGCUGGAUUUGGGAGUUUUAACAUGGAAUUUGUGUAUAAAAUAUUUGUCUUCACAUAUUUGGUUCCUUUCUAUCUUAUCAUAUAUGCUUUAUUCUUGAAAGUCUAUUUUUAGUUUAAUUUUGCAGUUUAUAUUUCAAAGGGUCGGAUAUUAGUUUUACUUUUUUUUUUUUCAGGGAGAUUUACAUUUUGUUUCUAAAAAAGUUCCAAUUUGCAUAGUUCUUUUUGUGUGUGUUUGUGUAUGGUUCUUGGCUAUCGAUUCUUAACACAACACAAUUGGAUAUACUUUUCUUAUGAAUUUUUUGUUUUUGUUUUUGAAUAAAAAAUGUAAAUACAUAGUUGUUAGAUUAAUCUUCUCAUUCGUUCGGGUUUGAACCAAGAUCCCAAACUCCUAAUCUCUUAGUUCAAAUCAGUUGAGCUACCCCAACCCACUCUUUUCUGAUGAGAUAUCCCUAUUAAAUUAGUCAUUUAGUUUAGUUAGCAUUUUUUUUAGGUUAAUUAGCUUGAUUAAUAACUUUUUUUUGAAGGAGUUUGAUUAAUAACUUAUUAAGUAAAUAAACAUAUACAUAUGCAUUUUCUGAAUUUUUCUAUCAUAUUAAUGGUCGGUAUAUCACCUUCUAAGUGAAAUGUCCUUAAUUUUUCAUUCUAUAUUUUUGAGGGCACGUCUGAAUUAAUUAGCUAGAAAUAUGCAUGUAUCUUGUUGUUACUAGGAAUAUGCCCUUUUAGACACAAUAGGGACAUGUGACUAUUUAUUUGUAAACUUUUUUUUCUUUUGAACAAAAUAUUUAUUUGUAAAUAUGUGUUCUCACUUCACAGCCAGUACAUUAAUUAUGAGUUUUCCCUUGCAAUUCAUAAUGCUGAGGAUUCAUUUUCAGGCAUGAAUUGUUUCUUCAAGUGGAAAUUCAAGGUUUCUUUUGCAUUAGUUUUUGUAUUUACCAGUAUAUUUCAUGCAUCAUGGUAUAGCAUAGAAAUCUUUGAAUUUUUGUUUGGUAAAAUUCUUCCAUCUUUUUGUUGGAGUCAACGGAAACUAAGAAUGUUCUUCAAAAUGGGUAAGAAUACAUUCCUAGCAAACAUCAUCAAAGAACCAUUUCAAAGACAAUACUUAAAUACACUUAUAUAUGGUCAUUAAUUACAUGUGUAUUGCCCUGGUACUCUUUUGAUAACUCUCUCCAACAAGUAGUAUCAAACUCUUUCCUCAAAAAGUAGUAUCAAACCCUUCAUUCAAUUUGAUGAGGGAGUCAGAGUAGGGGUGGCCCUGAGCAUGGAAAGGUGGAAUGCUCACAAAAAAUGUAAGAAGAUAUUUGAAUAAUUAAAAGGGCACAACUUUAGUGAUUAGUCCUAGACACAAAAAAAAACCUUUGGACCGGCCCUAAGUAGGAGUGGAUAUUGGUGUCAUGAGUCAUGUAUCAAUAGUCUUCCUAGCGGUGGAGUCACAAUAUCACGGCAUUCUUUUUGUAGUUAACAUCCAUGUAAGUAUAGUGAUGUGAGACACUCAUACUUGAAGGGGUUGUUGGAGUUCAAGUACGAGCGGAAGUCUCAUAUCAUCUAGGAAUGAGAUAAUCGAAAUAUAUAUAUAAAAGAUGUGAUCUAUAUACAAAAUGUUCUAAGAUUUUUGGUGGAGAUAUAAUAUCAAAGUCUAUUAGUGGUUUUCGUCCAAUUGUCGCUCUAGAACUCCCCUGGAUUCCCCAAGGCUUACCUAGUUGCCUUACCUUUCCACCAUUCCAGAAUAUUGUGCAAAAUGGAGAAGCUAGAUAUGUGAGCUGUAAAACAAUUGUAAGAAAUUAAUAAUAGAAAAAUUAAUACUACCUUGUUGAGGAAAGCCGCACACGCCAACGAUUAAUCUACAUGCCCAAAGAUUUUAGAUGGAACAUACAUGAACGUAUCAGAAAGAAAGUAACAGUACACACACAGAUUUAUGUGAUUCAACCCUUCUUGCUAUGCCUACGUGAACGCUAACAUAUAUGUUGUAUACUAUGGUUUUUUGAGCCGUCACUAUAAACCUCCACAGGUAUAUGUCAUUUUUCUUCUGGUGAUAACUUAUUAAUUAUUUCAAACAAGAUUACAAUAAUGUAACCCAACUUAAGUGUAGCACUCUACAAUACUCCCCUAAAGAGUACUUAAAGAAUGAUAACACUCACAUAUGAAAUGACUCAUUUCUCCAAGACAUGUUGGAGAUGAUGCCUCGACUCUCCACAUAUGAUCUCCCAAAAACGAGAAAGCACCAUAUGAUCAACUAAGAUUUGUGGUACUUCAACUCUUCAUGAGUCUCUUACAAGAGAGUGUCUUUCACUCGUGUAUCUAACUUAGUGGAUAUUAACCGUCUCAUCUUUUUUAUUUUUAUUUUUAUAUGAAUCAAGAGAGCAAAGAAGGUAUCAAAGAGAAGUUAGACAUCCCAACUAGGGUUGACACACCAUAGCUGUUGCCAUCCUCUACCACCUGCUCUGAAAUUUUAUUAAAAAAGGAAAAACUAUACAAGAGAGGGGACUAAGCCAAAAUCCUAAAAGAAUAACAACAGGAGUGGGAACUAAGGGAAUUGAUUUCGAAAGAUCAUGUAUGUACAAGUAAAAAUCCUGCCAAAGGAAAAUAGGUAAAGAAUCCCACCAGACAACAUUUGUAAUAACAUGUCCAUGACUAGCAAACUUAUCAGCACAAACGUUUCCUUCCCGAUGAUAUGUGACGAUAAAAUAUGAAUUCCAGCAUGUAAACAAUUGUGCCACUGGUCUCGAAGCCUCUAAUAUUCUAAACGAAGACCUUCAUUGAGCCGGAAGAGUAUUUUCACCCUUAGACCGGGUUUUGUAGGAAACUCGAUAGAGUUGUUGUUUCUACUUCUUAGUUAUGUAGGGUGUGAAUUGUUCAUUAGAAUUUUCAGUCUCUUGAACCAAAAUGUGCCGAAUCAAUUAAGAUCCUUUUGUAGAACUGGGCAUAUAUUAGGUUGCUCCACUUGCCCUGUGUUUCAAGAACAGUCUCCCUCGGAGAAGAAGUGGCAGUAGACACACUAGAAGAUGUCACAACACCUAAUGUAUUCAACAGCUGAACCAGCUCUAAAAUAGGAGUAUUUUCCUCUAUGUGUUGAAUCGUUCCCAAAGUAUCAAUCGGAUUGUGCUCCACAAUAUCUAUAACAUUCUCCAAUGGAAAAUGGAAGGAGGUUCCGGACUGUUCUCGGUUGUGGCGUUGCUGCACCUUCAAUCACAUUUGCCACCUCAGUCAAUUUGCCACCUCAGUCACCCGGACAUUUUCAAGUAUCGGUUCAGGUUCAUUGUGUUGAGGUUCCUUUGGUAUUUCAGGUAUCUGUUCCAUGACACUAAUUAUUCGGAAAUAUUUUACUUUGUGUUGAGGUUCAUCUUUCUUAGUAGCUUCACUUCAUUUCUCUAAAAAUCUAGAAACAUUUCAUAUCUUGAAAUGUAUCUCUUAAAUUUUCACAAUUUCCAAUAAUAUUUGGAAAUUAUAAUUGAUUUCAUUUUAUUCCUUAAUUAUUUUUAUGAUGUGUAAUUUAAUCAUGCAACAUGUUAGUUCGAUAUAAACUUAAUUUUGAACUAUUUAUUAAAUCAGAAAGGUUUACACAUAUAUAUUACUAUCUAACAUGAGAAUCACGUCUUGUACUGUUAUGGAAAUAUUGUAACCUGUAUCCUUUUUAGAUUGUUAAAUUGUUAUCUGAAGCUGAUUAUAAACUGAACCUCAGUAUUUGAAUGGAGAAAUUGUCAGAGAUGACAAUUUAGACCUAGUGAAUUAACAGGAAAAAAAUGCAGCUAGAAUUUCAAAGUAGCAAGCAUAUUUGCAAUAUGCCCUAGCUGAAUAAUUAAUGUCGUAAAAAUUCCAACAACAAAAAACAGAAAGAAAAUUACAAACAAAGUUAAUUAUUAGAAGUUGGUUAAGCUUGUACUUUGAUUAUCUGACAUACUUAGAAGUUGCUCAAGAUAUUCAACUCCCAAAUCCUCUAACACCAACACACUUGAUGAUCCCUCUGCUGAUUCUUGAAAUUUCCCUGCUUUACCCUUUUUACUUUUUGACGAUGACCUUAAUUUUCUUUGGUUGUAGUGUCUCUCUUUGAGUGCAAGUGCAGGUGAAGACCCUUUUCUGCAAUCAUAUUGAAUCUCUUGCAAAGAUUCUUUGACGCUUUCGAAAGAAAAAUUGAGGAAAGCAUUAUUACCUCUCAUUGAAAAUGCAGCUUGAUCAUAAGCUAAAGCAGCAUCUUCAGCACUAUCAAAUGUUCCUAGCCAAACCCUUCUUCCUCCUCUUGUUGUAUCUCUGAUUUCUGCAGCAUAUUUUCCCCAACGUCUUUUCCUAACACCUAUAUAUGACUUUUGAUCAAUC
rnacentral:lncRNA from 1 species